rnacentral:snRNA from 1 species
GUGCUUGCUUUGGGACACAUUACUAAAACUGGAACAAUACCGAGAAGAUUAGCAUGGCCCCAGCACAAGGAUGACAUACAAAUUCAUGAAGUAUUCCAUAUUAAA